GAUUGACUGCAUCGCGUGUCGCCCUUUUCCGGUUGAUCCCGCCGGACCCGACUGCUAUCAGAAUAGGACUAAGCCAUGCGAGUCAACGUACACAUAGUAGCAAUACUAUAUGUUCGUGGCAUACGGCUCAGUAACACGUAGUCAACAUGCCCAGGGGACGUGGAUAACCUCGGGAAACUGAGGAUAAACCGCGAUAGGUCAUAAUGUCUGGAAUGAUUUAUGGCUGAAAUCUACAUGGCCUCUGGAUUGGACUGCGGCCGAUCAGGCUGUUGGUGAGGUAAUGGCCCACCAAACCUAAAACCGGUACGGGCUCUGAGAGGAGGAGCCCGGAGAUGGGCACUGAGACAAGGGCCCAGGCCCUAUGGGGCGCAGCAGGCGCGAAACCUCUGCAAUAGGCGAAAGCUUGACAGGGUUAUUCUGAGUGGUUUCCGCUAAGGAAAUCUUUUGGCACCUCUAAAAAUGGUGCAGAAUAAGGGGUGGGCAAGCCUGGUGUCAGCCGCCGCGGUAAUACCAGCACCCCGAGUGGUCGGGACGAUUAUUGGGCCUAAAGCAUCCGUAGCCGGUUCUGCAAGUCUUCCGUUAAAUCCACCUGCUCAACAGUUGGGCUGCGGAGGAUACUAUAGAGCUAGGAGGCGGGAGAGGCAAGCGGUACUUAGUGGGUAGGGGUAAAAUCCGUUGAUCCACUGAAGACCACCAGUGGCGAAGGCGGCUUGCCAGAACGCGCUCGACGGUGAGGGAUGAAAGCUGGGGGAGCAAACCGGAUUAGAUACCCGGGUAGUCCCAGCUGUAAACGAUGCAGACUCGGUGAUGAAUAAGCUUCGUGCUUAUUCAGUGCCGCAGGGAAGCCGUUAAGUCUGCCGCCUGGGGAGUACGGUCGCAAGACUGAAACUUAAAGGAAUUGGCGGGGGAGCACCACAAGGGGUGAAGCCUGCGGUUCAAUUGGAGUCAACGCCGGGAAUCUUACCGGGGGCGACAGCAGAAUGAAGGUCAAGCUGAAGACUUUACCAGACAAGCUGAGAGGAGGUGCAUGGCCGUCGCCAGCUCGUGCCGUGAGGUGUCCUGUUAAGUCAGGUAACGAGCGAGAUCCCUGCCUCUAGUUGCUACCAUUGCUCUCAGGAGUUAUGGGGCUAAUUAGAGGGACUGCCGUCGCUGAGACGGAGGAAGGAGGGGGCUACGGCAGGUCAGUAUGCCCCGAAACCCUCGGGCCACACGCGGGCUGCAAUGGUAAGGACAAUAAGUUCCUAGUCCGAAAGGAGGAGGUAAUCUCCAAACCUUACCUCAGUUAUGAUUGAGGGCUGAAACUCGCCCUCAUGAAUAUGGAAUCCCUAGUAACCGCGUGUCAUUAUCGCGCGGUGAAUACGUCCCUGCUCCUUGCACACACCGCCCGUCGCUUCAUCGAAGUUGGUUCUUGGCGAGGUGGUGUCUAAUUGGCACUAUCGAACCUGGGGUCAGCAACGAGGGAGAAGUCGUAACAAGGUAACCAAGGGCGACACGCGAUGCAGCGAGCCUCAGACACUG
rnacentral:rRNA from 1 species